CCUACGGGUGACAGCAGUGAGGAAUAUUGGUCAAUGGACGAGAGUCUGAACCAGCCAAGCAGCGUGAAGGAUGACUGCCCUAUGGGUUGUAAACUUUUUUUAUAUGGGAAUAAAACGUUCCACGUGUGGGAUUUUGUAUGUACCAUAUGAAUAAGGAUCGGCCAACUCCGUGCCAGCAGCCGAGGUAAUACGGAGGGGCCGAGCGUUAUCCGGAUUUAUUGGGCUUAAAGGGAGCGUAGGCGGAUUGUUAAGUCAGUUGUGAAAGUUUGUGGCUCAACCGUAGAAUUGCAGUUGAAACUGGCAGUCGUGAGUACAGUAGAGGUGGGCGGAAUUCGUGGUGUAGCGGUGAAAUGCGUAGAGAUCACGAAGAACUCCGAUUGCGAAGGCAGUUCACUGGACUGCAACUGACACUGAGGCUCGAAAGUGUGGGUAUCAAACAGGAUUAGAUACCCGGGUAGUC
rnacentral:rRNA from 1 species